UUAUGGGUAGACAACAAGUGUAACGCAACCAUUGGAUAUAUAUUUAUAAACUAUAAAAUAUAGAUAUUGUAAUAGAUCUAAGCCUAUUUCCAGUAAGAAACAUAAGCAUUCAACUUUCAAAUAACAAGUUAUCACCUGUUAAAGAAGAAAGCCUAGGAAGCACUGACAAACCUAGUACAUCUAAAGAGUUUUGAGAUGGAUUUUCCGGAACAUUAUUUGCACCUAAGGGAAGUGUUAAAGUGUCUGAGUAUUCACAAUUUAACAGCCAAUGUAGAGAAGAUUAAGUUUUGUUUUAGUGCAAUAAAAUUCAUAAGCCAUAUUGUGAACAAAAAUGAAUUAAACAUUGAUCCAGGUAGAACUGUAAACAUUCAACAUAGUACUAGGUUUAUUGGCAUGACUUCUUAUUUUUCAAAAUGUAUACAUAAUUAUGUGGAAAUAGCUGCUCCACUGAAUGCUAUGCGAAAGAAAAAUGCGGAAUUUGUCUGGACUGAGGAGUGUGAUUGAGCUCAUGCUUAUUACAAAAGGAUGAGAACGGCGAGAUGAAGGUGAUAGCCUAUUAUUCAAGAAAAUUUAAUUAAGUGACAAGGCGAGUAAUUAGAGAGAUAUAGGAAAUCUACUCUCCAAUUUCAGUGAACGACCAAUGCAGAAAGUGAUAUUUUUGGACCACUACCCAAGAGUACAUCUUGGUGGCUGUGAUUUCCUCUUCGUAAAAUAACUUCAGAUGUGUUGAAGUCAGCCUAUGUUGUGCCAAUUCACAAAUCAGGACCUAUCGAUGUGGCAUUCAACUAUAGACCAGGUCUCGAUCCUUUCCACUCUGUCAAAGAUUUUUGAGGACUUAUUUCUUGAUUCGAUCAAGUACAGAGGGGCUGAUUUGAUAUGUCCACGGCAGCAUGGCUUCACAGCAGGUACCUCGAAUAGGUAAGGUCCAGGAGGCAGUGGUCAGCAGUGAAGGGGACUUUGGCAAUCACCAACUUUAUCCUAACUGAACAUGUGUUUAUUUUCAAUUACCUUUGUAACAAUAUUAAAACUUAGGAGUGAUUUUAAAUGUACCUAUAUUGCAAUGUUUAACCAGUUCUAAUGGUUUUCAGAAAUAUUUUUUGUUUAAUUUACUUUAUGUUGAGUUUCAACCAUUGAAAAACUAUUUGGGAAUUUUGUAAUUCAGAUUAGAUGUUUAAAGUUGUAAUAAAUAACAUUUGGUACUUA